UACGUAGGUGACCAGCGUUGUCCGGAUUUACUGGGCGUAAAGAGCGCGCAGGCGGUCGUUCAAGUCGAGUGUGAAAGCCCCCGGCUCAACUGGGGAGGGUCACUCGAUACUGAUCGACUUGAAGGCAGGAGAGGGAAGCGGAAUUCCCGGUGUAGUGGUGAAAUGCGUAGAUAUCGGGAGGAACACCAGUGGCGAAGGCGGCUUCCUGGCCUGUUCUUGACGCUGAGGAGCGAAAGCGUGGGGAGCGAACAGG
rnacentral:rRNA from 1 species